AGAAUAUAACCCAAAACUGAGGAGAUUCUUAAUAUUUUCACUUCACCUUCACCUGUCAUGUGCCCAUUCUUAGAAGUUUCAUUAUAAUGGUGCCUAAUUUUAUCAUCUCGACCUACCUCCCACUUGGAGUUUUCCUUAAAAUGCCUGUUCAAAGACUAGAAAACAGGUUGAAUAAGUGUCCACCAUUCGAAGAGCUAUAUUGUCAGUCCAUCGAGAUCAGGCUGUAUGAAAUUCAUCGCAUAAUAAAUCAAUUGCAGUCAUACAGAUACCUACUUAAGGACUCGUACGAUGUUUUGUUUUCAUAAAAAGUAAAUAUUUUUACUGAGUUUACAACAAACGUGUCAUCGUUUCAUAAUCGAAUAAAAUAAUUAACGAGUCGGUACCGAA